ACUCAAAUGAAUUGACGGGGGCCCGCACAAGCGGAGGAGCAUGUGGUUUAAUUCGAUGAUACGCGAGGAACCUUACCUAGACUUGAACGUAUUUGGAAUAACUUAGAAAUAGGUUAGCCAGCAAUGGCCAUUUACGAGGUGCUGCAUGGUUGUCGUCAGCUCGUGCCGUGAGGUGUUAGGUUAAGUCCUGCAACGAGCGCAACCCUUACCGUUAGUUACCAGCAUGUUAUGAUGGGGACUCUAGCGGAACUGCCGGCGCAAGCCGUGAGGAAGGUGGGGAUGACGUCAAAUCAGCACGGCCCUUACGUCUAGGGCGACACACGUGCUACAAUGGGUGGUACAGAGGGCAGCUACACCGCGAGGUGAUGCUAAUCUCCAAAACCAUUCUCAGUUCGGAUCGGAGUCUGCAACUCGACUCCGUGAAGUUGGAUUCGCUAGUAAUCGCUCAUCAGCCAUGGAGCGGUGAAUACGUUCCCGGGCCUUGUACACACCGCCCGU
rnacentral:rRNA from 1 species